rnacentral:rRNA from 1 species
AUGGUUAAGUUAGAAAGGGCGCACGGUGGAUGCCUUGGCACUAGGAGCCGAUGAAGGACGGGACGAACACCGAUAUGCUUCGGGGAGCUGUAAGCAAGCUUUGAUCCGGAGAUUUCCGAAUGGGGAAACCCACUGCUCGUAAUGGAGUAGUAUCCAUACUUGAAUACAUAGAGUAUGAGAAGGCAUACCCGGGGAACUGAAACAUCUAAGUACCCGGAGGAAGAGAAAGCAAAUGCGAUUCCCUGAGUAGCGGCGAGCGAAACGGGAACAGCCCAAACCAAGAGGCUUGCCUCUUGGGGUUGUAGGACACUCUAUACGGAGUUACAAAGGAACGAUAUAAGCGAAGAGGUCUGGAAAGGCCCGCCAAAGAAGGUAACAGCCCUGUAACUGAAAUGUUGUUCUCUCCAGAGUGGAUCCUGAGUACGGCGGAACACGUGAAAUUCCGUCGGAAUCCGGGAGGACCAUCUCCCAAGGCUAAA